UCCGCAAAAGCCUCUAAUGGUGAAUGGGGUUAUGCUGAAGUCAUUAGGAGGAGCGAUCUGGAAGGAUCACCUUACUUGAAGGACGAUGUUUUUAGUCUCAGGUGCGAUAUCACCGUGCCAAAGGAGAUCUUCAUCACCAAGGCCAUCCCUGUUUCCGCAGUUCAUCCUGGUGACAUGAAGCAGGAGUGAUGAAACGGCUCCUCUCGGCCGUGGCGUUUGAAUUCGCGGGAGUGGCCUUGGCUCCGUUGUGUGUGAUCCGACGAUCAUCCUUUGGAGAUGCUUUGCCAAUGUUGCCAGGUCUCUCUUUAUCUUUCAUCUUCUAUCAGCGAUUGCUUUUCAGUUUAAGCACUGUUGUGCACGUCAGUUUGAUCGUCGAGUCUUGUAACGGAAGCACCGAACUAAUAAGGUGCAUUUCCGAGUCUUGUCGCUUUAGAUUUUUCGUAUUCCAGUCUCUAAACCGAACCUUUGUAGCUUCGGGUGUCGUUGCGAAAUUGUCUUUGUAAUCGCCUAGUCAAUGGAAACCAGCAAUCGUAGUUCC
rnacentral:lncRNA from 1 species